rnacentral:rRNA from 1 species
GACGAACCGUGCGAACGUUGUUCGGAAUCACUGGGCUUAAAGGGCGCGUAGGCGGCAGAUCAAGUCCGGGGUGAAAUCCUCCAGCUCAACUGGAGAAGUGCCUUGGAUACUGAUGUGCUCGAGGGAGGUAGGGGCCCGCGGAACUUCUGGUGGAGCGGUGAAAUGCGUUGAUAUCAGAAGGAACGCCGGUGGCGAAAGCGGCGGGCUGGAUCUCUACUGACGCUGAGGCGCGAAAGCUAGGGGAGCAAACGGG